UACGGGGGGGGCAAGCGUUGUUCGGAAUUACUGGGCGUAAAGGGUUCGUAGGUGGCCAACUAAGUCAGACGUGAAAUCCCUCAGCUUAACUGGGGAACUGCGUCUGAUACUGGUUGGCUUGAGUGCAGGAGAGGAACGCGGAAUUCCAGGUGUAGCGGUGAAAUGCGUAGAUAUCUGGAGGAACACCGGUGGCGAAGGCGGCUUCCUGGACCGACACUGACGCUGAGGCGCGAAAGCUAGGGGAGCAAACGGG
rnacentral:rRNA from 1 species